rnacentral:rRNA from 1 species
AGUGGCGGACGGGUGAGUAACGCGUAAGAAUCUAACUUCAGGACGGGGACAACAGUGGGAAACGACUGCUAAUACCCGAUGUGCCGCGAGGUGAAACCUAAUUGGCCUGAAGAAGAGCUUGCGUCUGAUUAGCUAGUUGGUGGGGUAAGAGCCUACCAAGGCGACGAUCAGUAGCUGGUCUGAGAGGAUGAGCAGCCACACUGGGACUGAGACACGGCCCAGACUCCUACGGGAGGCAGCAGUGGGGAAUUUUCCGCAAUGGGCGAAAGCCUGACGGAGCAACGCCGCGUGAGGGAGGAAGGUCUUUGGAUUGUAAACCUCUUUUCUCGAGGAAGAAGUUCUGACGGUACUUGAGGAAUCAGCCUCGGCUAACUCCGUGCCAGCAGCCGCGGUAAUACGGGGGAGGCAAGCGUUAUCCGGAAUUAUUGGGCGUAAAGCGUCCGCAGGUGGUCAGCCAAGUCUGCCGUCAAAUCAGGUUGCUUAACGACCUAAAGGCGGUGGAAACUGGCAGACUAGAGAGCAGUAGGGGUAGCAGGAAUUCCCAGUGUAGCGGUGAAAUGCGUAGAGAUUGGGAAGAACAUCGGUGGCGAAAGCGUGCUACUGGGCUGUAUCUGACACUCAGGGACGAAAGCUAGGGGAGCGAAAGGGAUUAGAUACCCCUGUAGUCCUAGCCGUAAACGAUGGAUACUAGGCGUGGCUU